rnacentral:rRNA from 1 species
CCUACGGGGGGCAGCAGUGGGGAAUAUUGGGCAAUGGAGGCAACUCUUACCCAGCAAUGCCGCGUGAAUGAAGAAGGUCUUCGGAUUGUAAAGUUCUUUAAUUGGGGACGAAAAAAAUGACGGUACCCAAGGAAUAAGCCCCGGCUAACUACGUGCCAGCAGCCGCGGCAAUACGUAGGGGGCAAGCGUUGUUCGGAAUGACUGGGCGUAAAGGGUGUGCAGCCGGAGAGACAAGUCAGAUGUGAAAUCCACGGGCUCAACCCGUGAACUGCAUUUGAAACUGUUUCCCUUGAGUGUCGGAGAGGGAAUCGGAAGUCCUGGUGUAGCGGUGAAAUGCGUAGAUAUAAGGAAGAACACCAGUGGCGAAGGCGGAUUACUGGACGAUAACUGACGGUGAGGCGCGAAAGCGUGGGGAGCAAACAGGAUUAGAUACCCCAGUAGUC